CGCUGGCGGCGUGCCUAAUACAUGCAAGUCGAACGCACUCUCGUUUAGAUUUGAAGGGAGCUUGCUCCUGAUUGAUAAACAUUUGAGUGAGUGGCGGACGGGUGAGUAACACGUGGGUAACCUGCCCUAAAGUGGGGGAUAACAUUUGGAAACAGAUGCUAAUACCGCAUAAAACCUAACACCGCAUGGUGUAGGGUUGAAAGAUGGUUUCGGCUAUCACUUUAGGAUGGACCCGCGGUGCAUUAGUUAGUUGGUGAGGUAAAGGCUCACCAAGACCGUGAUGCAUAGCCGACCUGAGAGGGUAAUCGGCCACACUGGGACUGAGACACGGCCCAGACUCCUACGGGAGGCAGCAGUAGGGAAUCUUCCACAAUGGACGAAAGUCUGAUGGAGCAACGCCGCGUGAGUGAAGAAGGUUUUCGGAUCGUAAAACUCUGUUGUUGGAGAAGAAUAUAUCUGAUAGUAACUGAUCAGGUAGUGACGGUAUCCAACCAGAAAGCCACGGCUAACUACGUG
rnacentral:rRNA from 1 species